rnacentral:tRNA from 1 species
GGGCCGGUGGUCUAGCUCGGCUAUGAUACCGCCUUCACACGGCGGGGAUCGCUGGUUCAAAUCCGGCCCGGCCCA